rnacentral:rRNA from 1 species
CCUACGGGUGGCAGCAGUGGGGAAUAUUGGACAAUGGGGGGAACCCUGAUCCAGCGACGCCGCGUGAGUGAAGAAGUAUUUCGGUAUGUAAAGCUCUAUCAGCAGGGAAGAAAAUGACGGUACCUGACUAAGAAGCCCCGGCUAACUACGUGCCAGCAGCCGCGGUAAUACGUAGGGGGCAAGCGUUAUCCGGAUUUACUGGGUGUAAAGGGAGCGUAGACGGUGCAGCAAGUCUGAUGUGAAAGGUCGGGGCCCAACCCCGGGACUGCAUUGGAAACUGUUGAACUGGAGUACAGGAGAGGUAAGCGAACUUCCUGGUGUGGCGGUGAAGUGGGUGGAUGUUAGGAGGAACACCAGUGGCGAGGGCGGCUUACUGGACUGUAACUAACGUUGGGGCUCGAACGCGUGGGGGGCAAACCGAAUUCGGUACCCCUGUCGU